GACAGAGGGUGCAAACGUUGUUCGGAAUUACUGGGCGUAAAGCGCGUGUAGGCGCUCGGAAAGUCGGGUGUGAAAAGCCCCUGGGCUCAACCUAGGAAGUGCACUCGAAACUUCCGAGCUGGAGUUCUGGAGAGGAAGGCGGAAUUCUCGGUGUAGAGGUGAAAUUCGUAGAUAUCGAGAGGAACACCGGUGGCGAAGGCGGCCUUCGGACAGCAAC
rnacentral:rRNA from 1 species